AUUGAACGCUGGCGGCAGGCCUAACACAUGCAAGUCGAGCGGAUGGAGGGAGCUUGCUCCUGGAUUCAGCGGCGGACGGGUGAGUAAUGCCUAGGAAUCUGCCUGGCAGUGGGGGAUAACGUCAGGAAACGGGCGCUAAUACCGCAUACGUCCUGAGGGAGAAAGGGGGGGAUCUUCGGACCUCACGCUAUCAGAUGACCCUUGGUCGGAUUAGCUAGUUGGUGGGGUAAAGGCCUACCAAGGCGACGAUCCGUAGCUGGCCUGAGAGGAUGAUCAGUCACACUGGAACUGAGACACGGUCCAGACUCCUACGGGAGGCAGCAGUGGGGAAUAUUGGGCAAUGGGCGAAAGCCUGAUCCAGCAAUGCCGCGUGUGUGAAGAAGGUCUUCGGAUUGUAAAGCACUGUUAGUUGGGAGGAAGAGCAGUAAGUUAAUACCUUGCUGUUUUGACGUUACCAACAGAAUAAGCACCGGCUAACUUCGUG
rnacentral:rRNA from 1 species